GAAUUGCUUCAACAAUUUUAUGUUGUAAUCCAUGUGAUAGAAUACUGAUAUAUUUUUUAAAAAAGAGGUUAGCUCCACAGAAGUGACAGGAAACUGUCCACAAUGUGUCCUGAGGCCAAAACAAGUUGCAGAACAGUAUGUAAACAGUUUGUAACUUUUUUGUAACUACAUAGGUAAAAAUACUUUUGGCUUUACUUCUUUGUCUGCUUAGACUCCCAGAUUCUCUGAUGAUACCACUCUGGUGCUUGUCCUAAUGGGAAAGUUUCCUGAAAUCCUGCGAUGAGUUUGACAGUUUCAAAAUUCCUUCAAACAUACAGUGAAUGACAGACAA
rnacentral:lncRNA from 10 species